rnacentral:rRNA from 1 species
CUUGGUGCACAGUGCUUGUGGUACCCACGCGAUCCCAUCUCGGACUCGGCCGUGAAACCAGACAGCGCCGAUGGUAUCAACGCUCAAGCGUUGGAAGAGUAGGUCGCCGCCAUGG